GACGAACGCUGGCGGCGCGCUUAACACAUGCAAGUCGAACGGAAAGGCCUGCUUUCCCUUGUGGAUUGCGGGUACUCGAGUGGCGAACGGGUGAGUAACACGUGAGUGAUCUGCCCCCAACUUGGGUAUAAGCCUGGGAAACUGGGUCUAAUUCCCGAUAGGACUGCAGGGUGGUGCCUGUGGUGGAAAACGAUUUUCUAGUGGUUGGGGAUGAGCUCGCGGCCUAUCAGCUUGUUGGUGGGGUAAUGGCCUACCAAGGCGGCGACGGGUAGCCGGCCUGAGAGGGUGGACGGCCACAUUGGGACUGAGAUACGGCCCAGACUCCGACGGGAGGCAGCUGUGGGGAAUAGUGCACAAUGGGCGGAAGCCUGAUGCAGCGACGCCGCGUGGGGGAUGACGGCCUUCGGGUUGUAAACUCCUUUCGACCGCGAGGAAGCCACCUGGUUGGAAGGGUGGUGACGGUAGUGGUAGAAGAAGCACCGGCUAACUACGUG
rnacentral:rRNA from 1 species